AGAAAACACAGAGAAGGCGGAACAAAACUAUAUAUAAAAACAACUUUCAUCUCAAAUUCUCAAAUCAACAGACACACAAGAGAGAGAAAGAGAAAGAGAAAGUGAAAGAGGAGGGUCCGACCCGAAGCCUUCUCUUUCGCCGCAGUGCUUGUUUUCAGAGCUAACAAAGGAAUCCACGGAGAAAAAGGAAAGAAAGAAAGAAGAUAUCUCUCUCUCUCUCUCUCUCUUCUGUUUCGACGCUCUAAGAUUCUUAUUCUUCACUUCAGGUGUGCUAUUUUACACCGGAUUCCACUUCAGAUUCGCUAAAUUCUCAUCACGAUUGACGAUUUUGGAGCCAAACCGCUUAAUUCUUCAAGUUUCUUUUUACGGAAAUCAAUCAUGCGAGUUUCCUUUGAUGUAAACAAGCUAAGCCAUCUAUCGUCUCGUGCAGAAUUGUGAUUGUUGAUUACGAACGGAGAGCUUAGAUUAAUAUAGGAACUUGGAGAAGAAAAUUGAGUAGGUGCGAUUGUGAUCUUAAGCUUGCUUUGGACUUGAAUCUAAACCAAGGAGCGAAGAAAACAACGGUUUCUGUUAAAUUCGGAUCUGAGGAUCUUCCAUCAGCGAGAUAGUGAGAUCGAAGCUUGAAGCUCUCAAUUCCAGCGCUGUCUUACGAAUUCAAGCCUUUUUCACGUGGUAACGGAAUUGGAUUCUAUGUGAAUUGAGAUUCUGGAAGAUUGAAAUUCAAAAUUCCGUUGAAUUACCAGGAAGGAAUAAGAGGACGACACGAAAGAGACGGAAAAGAAUAGCAAUAUUUUUCUGGUUUUGAUGAUGGAACUUCCUCAAGCGCGGUCAUUUGGAACCGAAGG